CAUUUAUAUAUAUAUAUAUAUAUUGGGUUUUGAUUAUAAUUAAUUUGCAGAAGCAACUCCAAAGCUUCUUCUUCACUUGAUGAAUGUAAAAGGGCUUACAAUUUCUCAUAUCAAAAGCCAUCUUCAGAUGUAUAGAAGUAUGAAGAGUGAUAUGAUCAACCCACAAGAUAAGAGUUGUUCCACCAAGAAAAGAAAACAAUUUGUUAUGGAUGAAGAUGAAGAGAAUGAUAUUGUGAGGAGGAGAUACACAUAUUCUUCACUCAUGCAAGAAUCAGAUUCCAAUUUCUUUA